CCUACGGGAGACUGCAGUGGGGAAUAUUGGGCAAUGGGCGCAAGCCUGACCCAGCAACGCCGCGUGAAGGAAGAAGGCUUUCGGGUUGUAAACUUCUUUUAAGAGGGAAGAGCAGAAGACGGUACCUCUUGAAUAAGCCACGGCUAACUACGUGCCAGCAGCCGCGGUAAUACGUAGGUGGCAAGCGUUGUCCGGAAUUACUGGGUGUAAAGGGAGCGCAGGCGGGAAGCCAAGUCAGCUGUGAAAACUACGGGCUUAACUUGUAGACUGCAGUUGAAACUGGUUUUCUUGAGUGAAGUAGAGGUUGGCGGAAUUCCGAGUGUAGCGGUGAAAUGCGUAGAUAUUCGGAGGAACACCGGUGGCGAAGGCGGCCAACUGGGCUUUAACUGACGCUGAGGCUCGAAAGUGUGGGGAGCAAACAGGAUUAGAUACCCCUGUAGUC
rnacentral:rRNA from 1 species